rnacentral:lncRNA from 1 species
GGGGUUUCGGGUUUCGGGUUUGGGGUUUCGGGUUUCGGGUUUCGGGUUUCGGGGUUGGGGUUUCGGGUUUCGGGUUUCGGAUUCUAGGGAUUUAAACAUAACACUCGUUAAUUCCACGUAAGCACAAAUCAUCGUAAAGUCCUUGUAGGGUGAAAUCGUCGUAAAUACCACGUAGGAUGAAAUCGUCGUAAAUACCACGUAAAAGGAUUUAAACAAAACACUCGUUAAUUCCACGUAAGCAGAAAUCGUCGUAAAGACCACGUAAAAGGAUUUAAACAUAAAACCCGUUAAUUCCACGUAAGUACAAAUCGUCGUAAAUAUCUCGUUGUGUAAAAACUAGAAAAAAAAGGAAAAGGAGAGAAAUACCAGAUUAACAUGUGGCAAGACUUCCAGCAAUUAUAAUACGUAAGUCUCGCCCACAUGAAUUCUAAUAUCUUCUCCUUUUCCUAUUUUAUUCAGAUAUUUAUAAUUUGAAUAGGAUUUUGCUGAGGAAUGUGAUUUGAGAUAAGAUGUGUUUUGGGAGUUUGUGUGUGGUUUGAGAAUGAGAGUUGUGGGUAUAUUUAUAGGAAAGCAAGCCUUGUUAAUUCCUCGUAAGCUAAAUCGUCGUUAAUACCUCGUAUAAAAAAACACGGGCCUUUGUGAUUCCUCGCAAUUUCCUCGUAAAAAAAACACGGGCCUUUGUAACUGCUUGCUAUUUCGUCGUAAA